AAGUAAAAUAGUGGUCCUGUGCGCUAUACUCCACAAUAUCGCGGUAAGGAGUAGCGUAGAGCUUCCUCAGACAGAGGAAUUGCCUGAUGAGGAGCCAGGGGUUGUCCGACACUUCGGUGGGGGGAGUGUUACAAGGAGGGGGAGCCAAGUCAGGGCAAGCAUUGUUGCUGAAUUUUUCAGCUGAAAGACCACACAAACUGAGGACGACCACAACGGCAAGCACCACAUGAUGCACCAGCUCAGCACCCUUCCCCUUCUCACUCCCCCUCCACUUCCCAGUCCCCCUCCCCUUCUCACUCCCCCUCCCCUUCUCACUCCCCCUCCCCUUCUCACUCCCCCUCCCCUUCUCACUCCCCCUCAGCUUCCCAAUCCCCCUCAGCUUCCCAAUCACCCUCAGCUUCACAAUCCACCUCAGCUUCCCAGUCACCCUCAGCUUCCCAGGCCCCCUCAGCUUCCCAGGCCCCCUCAGCUUCCCAGGCCCACUCCGCUUUCCACUCCCCUUCUCAGCCAACCUCUCCUUCUCUUUCUGUGACCCCUUCUCCUCCUUCCCAUACCCCUUCUCCUUCUACUUCCAACUCACCUUCUCAGC